rnacentral:tRNA from 3 species
GGGUCGGUAGCUCAGUCGGUAGAGCAGAGGACUGAAAAUCCUCGUGUCGGCGGUUCGAUUCCGCCCCAACCCACCA